GAGACACCCUUCUGGGGCAAGACUUGUUUCAGUGGGGCUUUGGUGCUCACUGAGUCUGCCCCCUGAGAGUGACCUU
rnacentral:pre_miRNA from 1 species